rnacentral:tRNA from 1 species
GGCCCGGUGGUCUAAUGGAAUAGGACACCACCCUCUCAAGGUCGGAGAUUGCGGGUUCGAGUCCCGUUCGGGCUACCA